CAGUGCCACGGUAAUACAGAGGGUGCGAGCGUUAAUCGGAUUUACUGGGCGUAAAGCGUGCGUAGGCGGCUUUUUAAGUCGGAUGUGAAAUCCCUGAGCUUAACUUAGGAAUUGCAUUCGAUACUGGGAAGCUAGAGUAUGGGAGAGGAUGGUAGAAUUCCAGGUGUAGCGGUGAAAUGCGUAGAGAUCUGGAGGAAUACCGAUGGCGAAGGCAGCCAUCUGGCCUAAUACUGACGCUGAGGUACGAAAGCAUGGGGAGCAAACAGGAUUAGAUACCCCCGUAGUCCCUGUCUCUUAUACA
rnacentral:rRNA from 1 species